UACGUAGGGGGCAAGCGUUGUCCGGAUUUAUUGGGCGUAAAGAGCGUGUAGGCGGCUUGACAAGUCUGCUGUGAAAACUUGAGGCUCAACCUCAAGCUGUCGGCGGAAACUGUCAGGCUAGAGUCCGGAAGAGGAGAGUGGAAUUCCUGGUGUAGCGGUGAAAUCGUAGAUAUUCGCAAGAACACCAGUGGCGAAGGCGGCUCACUGGCCCGGUACUGACGCUGAGGCACGAAAGCGUGGGGAGCAAACAGG
rnacentral:rRNA from 1 species